GGAGAGGUGGCAGAGCGGUUGAUCGCGCCAGUCUUGAAAACUGGAUAAUCCGCAAGGGUUACGUGGGUUCGAAUCCCACCCUCUCCGCCA
rnacentral:tRNA from 1 species